rnacentral:rRNA from 1 species
CGAACGCUGGCGGCGUGCCUAAUACAUGCAAGUAGCACGCUGAAGGAGGAGCUUGCUUCUCUGGAUGAGUUGCGAACGGGUGAGUAACGCGUAGGUAACCUGCCUGGUAGCGGGGGAUAACUAUUGGAAACGAUAGCUAAUACCGCAUAAUAGUAGAUGUUGCAUGACAUUUGCUUAAAAGGUGCAAUUGCAUCACUACCAGAUGGACCUGCGUUGUAUUAGCUAGUUGGUGGGGUAACGGCUCACCAAGGCGACGAUACAUAGCCGACCUGAGAGGGUGAUCGGCCACACUGGGACUGAGACACGGCCCAGACUCCUACGGGAGGCAGCAGUAGGGAAUCUUCGGCAAUGGACGGAAGUCUGACCGAGCAACGCCGCGUGAGUGAAGAAGGUUUUCGGAUCGUAAAGCUCUGUUGUAAGAGAAGAACGAGUGUGAGAGUGGAAAGUUCACACUGUGACGGUAGCUUACCAGAAAGGGACGGCUAACUACGUG